GAACUUGGGGUGGCCCGCGUAGGCGGGUCGUCCCGUAGCUAACGCGUUAAGUUCCGCGCCUGGGGAGUACGGUCGCAAGACUGAAACUCAAAGGAAUUGACGGGGGCCCGCACAAGCGGUGGAACAUGUGGUUCAAUUCGACGCAACGCGAAGAACCCUACCUGGGCUUGAACCGCUACUGACCAACGAUAGAAAUAUUGUCUUCCCGCAAGGGACAGUAGUAGAGGUGCUGCAUGGCUGUCGUCAGCUCGUGCCGUGAGGUGUUGGGUUAAGUCCCGCAACGAGCGCAACCCUUAUUCGUAGUUGCCACCCGCAAGGGGGAACUCUACGAGGACUGCUCCGGAUAACGGAGAGGAAGGUGGGGAUGACGUCAAGUCAGCACGGCCUUUGUGUCCAGGGCUACACACGUGUUACAAUGCACGGUACAGACUGUUGCGAACCCGCGAGGGGGAGCUAAUCGGAUAAAACCGUGCUCAGUUCGGAUUGCAGUCUGCAACUCGACUGCAUGAAGCUGGAAUCGCUAGUAAUGGCGCAUCAGAUCGGCGCCGUGAAUACGUUCCCGGGCCUUGUACACACCGCCCGUCACAUCACGAAAGUGAGUUGUACUAGAAGUCGCUCAGCUAACCGUAGGGAAGCAAGCGCCCAAGGUAUGACCCAUGAUUGGGGUGAAGUCGUAACAAGGUAACCGUA
rnacentral:rRNA from 1 species